GAUAAGAACUCUCCGAAAAAAUUACGCUGUUAUCCCUAAGGUAAGUUAAUCUUAUAAUCAAAAAUUUUGGAUCAAAAAAACAUAAAUUAAUGAAAAAAAUAUUAAAAGUUAAAUAAAUUUUAAUGUCACCCCAACAAAACUUUACAUUCUAAAAAAUAGUUUAAUAAACAAAAAACAAUAAUUAAUAAAUAAAGUAAACUUCUAUAGGGUCUUCUCGUCCUAUAAAAAAAUUUUAGCUUUUUAACUAAAAGAUUAAAUUCAAAAUAAUUAAAAAAAGAAAGUUUAUUUUUCAUCAAACCAUUCAUACUAGCCUUCAAUUAAAAGACAAAUGAUUAUGCUACCUUCGUACAGUUAAAAUACCGCAGCCUUUUAAUUAAAAAAAAUCAAUGGGCAGGCCUGAUCUUAAAUUAAAAUCAAAAGACC
rnacentral:rRNA from 1 species